rnacentral:lncRNA from 1 species
ACGUGCACAUUUUUUGUUCUCACUCUAAUAAUGUGAUAAAGCUGAAUUAUUUCCAAUUUUCUGACGAGAGAGGUCAAGAGACUUGUUCAAGGUCUUUUCUCUUGGAUCCUAAAGGAUGGAAGCUAAAGUGGUGUGGUAUAUAAGUCCCAUGACCUUGAACAACUGGUUUUAUGUGGGUGUCACCAGUGCUUUAUAAAAGUAAACUGCAUCGCCCCGAGUUCAGUCAUACUGCACCAGCUGAGCAAUGCAUGGAGUGGACCUGUAGGCGACUUGCAUCGUCUUCAACAUGAAGAUAGCCACAGUGUCAGUGCUUCUGCCCUUGGCUCUUUGCCUCAUACAAGAUGCUGCCAGUAAGAAUGAAGAUCAGGAUAAGAAAUUUUUUCAAAGUCUUGAUGGAAUAAUGUUCAUCAAUAAAUGUGCCACGUGCAAAAUGAUACUGGAAAAAGAAGCAAAAUCACAGAAGAGGGCCAGGCAUUUAGCAAGAGCUCCCAA